CACCUCUAGCACAUCUUGCAUCCGCGACUUAGACCGCGACUCGAGUCGCCAUUCCCGCAGCUGUCAAAUCUGUCGAUUUCCGUAGCAUAACUUGUACCCGCGACUGCAACAGCCGCGUAGAGAACUCAAAGUCGCGGCGCGACUCGUCAGUGUUACCCGGCGAAAUCAAAGUCUAAACAAAUCGAUAUUUGCAAGUGGCAACACUGAAUCGGAAACCAGGGAUGCGCUAAAUCAUUCGUUCUUUGGUGGUAAAAAAUCUGGUUUUUUGUCGAUGGUUAAGUUUUUCCUGUCAAAGUCAAGGAACUUCCAAAUUUUGUCAACAUUUAAUUACAGGAAAAAUAUGAAAAAAAUGUAAGUAAUAGAGCCUUAUAUACUUAAUAUUGAUAAUAUUCCUUAAAAUAUAUAUUGUUUAAAAAUUUCUGUUUAAUAAACCUUUUAAAUAAAAUAUUUUUGUAAGUAACUAUAAUUAAUGGAAUUGCUAUUAUUGGUUUUGUUCUCAUAUUCCUGUUGUAAAUAGUGUUUUAUUUUUCAGAAUAAGUUCAGCAUUAUCCUAGAGUUCCUAGACACGAUUGAUAUCCCAGCACCCAAAGGAAAAUAUUCUUAACAGGAACGUGCCAACGGGACCCGAAGUGGAGAGUCAGGAAAAGAAACACACUAGGCAAGCUUGGUGAUAUUUAAUUGUCCUACGCCGCAUGUCGAAGAAAAAGGAAGAGAGAAAAUACUUUUCAAGGGUAAUAAAGAAGAUUCUUACAAUUUCUCUAUUGUGGUUCUAGAUGUUAAUAUAUAUUAGGUUUAAUAAUAAGAAGUCUAAUAUUGCAAGAAUAUAUAAGGCAAAGCAAUAUACUAUUAAUUUAAA